GUCACCCUCUAGAAGAAAACUCUGUGUUGACAAUAGUGGAACUAGAUGCACUUCUUUGUGCAUCCAUGGAAUGAAUAUCUUGUAACCUUUGGCAAGUUACUUGAUAUUUCUUUGCCUCAUUGUCCUCAUCUGGGAAACAAUACCUAUCUCUCAGGUUUAAAUAUUAAAUUAACAAAUAUAUUUUAAUGCAUACCUGGUACAGAUUAUGUGUCAAUAAACAUAUCCUUUCCCCAAUAACAUAUGCUCUGAUUCUCAACUAACUUUCCCCAGUAAUAUGUUCAUUUUGGGAAUAGGAAUUGGUAGAGAAGUAAAGAUUUGUGUAUUCAACUCAAA
rnacentral:lncRNA from 1 species